rnacentral:rRNA from 1 species
AUUGAACGCUGGCGGCAGGCCUAACACAGGCAAGUCGAACGAGUGGCGGACGGGUGAGUAAUGUGUGGGAAAUUGCCUGAUGGAGGGGGAUAACUAAUGGAAACGGUAGCUAAUACCGCAUACCAUCAGAUGUGCCAAGAUGGGAUUAGCUAGUUGGUGGGGUAACGGCUCACCAAGGCGGAGAUCCCUAGCUGGUCUGAGAGGAGGACCAUCCACACUGGAACUGAGACACGGUCCAGACUCCUACGGGAGGCAGCAGUGGGGAAUAUUGCACAAUGGGCGCAAGCCUGAUGCAGCCAUGCCGCGUGUAUGAAGAAGGCCUUCGGGUUGUAAAGUACUUUCAGCGGGGAGGCGUUACCCGCAGAAGAAGCACCGGCUAACUCCGUGCCAGCAGCCGCGGUAAUUC